CGCAAAUAAAAGAGAAACAUGCAAAUUGACUGUCCCUCCACUACGCUCACCAGCCAAACAGGAGCAAUUAUGCAAAUUAACCCAACAAAUAUGGCAGGUUAAUUUGCAUACUCAC